GCGGGUGUAGUUCAGCGGUAGAACAUCUGCUUUCCAAGCAGAAUGUCGAGGGUUCGAUUCCCUUCGCCCGCU
rnacentral:tRNA from 1 species